ACAAUACGCAAUAUCCUGCGCUGCCUGCCGGUGCCGGGGAAAGAACCGCAAAAGUCCGCAAUAGCCGACACCAGCAACAGUCAACAACACUACCAUGACAGUAGGAUAAUACGAACCCGAGGAGCCAACUUUGAAGUUCUUGUAUUGUGGAAAUUACAUCGCUGUACCUUAAAAGUUUUGCCCGUCUUAACCAAGGAUCUGAAACAUUGUUAAACAUUGUAAGACUGAAUCUUUGUGAUAUAAUAAGAGUACUUCAGUUCAUCAUGCAGGUGAAUGAGAAUGAAGCCCUUGAAACUGAAAAUACUGAAGAUCCAGUAAGCCACCAGGAAUGCAGGGCAGAGUUGCGAGAGCGAUUUCUUUGGGCUGUGACUGCCUUGGUUGGCAAGGAGAUUGACGUUCAAAUGCACGAAAACAUAAGUGUUUCAGGUGUGUUUAGGGGAGUUGAUAAGGAUGUCCUGAGUCUUCAUGUCCAAAAUUUAAAGACUCCAACUAUAACAUAUCCCCAUUCCAUGUUAAGAAUGCCCGAUUGUUGCUCUGUUAAAUGCAAUAUUAAGUAUGGCUGAUGAUUUAUAAUUUAUGUCCUUACUUAUGCAGUAUUAAAUAUGGCUGAUAAUUUAUAAUGUAUGUAUGUCCUUAGUUUUUUGUAUUUUUGAUAUUGAAAAAAGUAUAUAUUUUUUGUAUACCAAAAUUUUAUUACAUGGUGAAAUAAUUAGGGUCUCCAUGGUAACUUAUGUAUGAUAUGGCUACUGUUGUAUGUAAAAAAGAAUCCUAAGUCUCUUGCACAAGCAUCAAAAGAUUAAGAGGCAUGGUAUGAGAAUGUUUGGACCUUUGCUCACUGAGAGAAACUCUUUGUUAGGGCUAAAUUUCAUCUUUGUAAGUUUGUGGAAUUGUAAGAGUAUGUUGCCAAGAACUUUACUCCAUUUUAGUUUAUCUAUGUACGUUAAUUGGAAUUAGUUGAAAGUAUGUACAUAUGAUAAUUUGGGCCAUAUGGCUCAGGACUGGAGUAGUGGAAGCCAUUCACUGUUAAUUAAAACCAGUUACCUUUUAUUUUUUUAGCAGUGCUCUGCGACACAAGUGGAGCUGUGAUACAUUUAAAAAUAAAUCAUGCCUUUAGUAAUCAGUAGUUCAAACCACUUCCUUGAUUACACAGAAUAACUUUAAUGAUCUGACCACAUCUGAAUCUUGUUUUACCUCUGCUGUACCAUUCAUAUCUAUGGGAAGAUGCAUUACCUGGCAAAGUGUCAUUCCAUUGUUGGCUAUGUAAUCUUGUAUAAUACAGUAGAGCAUACCAAGUUUCUUAUGACCAAGGUAUUGCUUGUACAGCCAGCAGUCUCUGAACAAAGGUGAGGAAUUUGGCAAUGAAAAUUCAAUAGGCUUCCAAGCCCAAGUAUGUACUUGAUGUUUAUGUUGUGUAUGGUUCAUGUUGCUCCAGCUCCAUAAUUUUUGGUUGUAAUACAGUAUUUGUUGUAGGCGAGUUACCAUUGUUUGAAAAAUAUUUCACUUUGUGACUGCAGUAGCAAGACUUGAAUGAGCAUGGACCUUUCCUACUGGUCUUUAUUAAUAUAAACUAUGUUUGAAUUACAUAUUUCAAGUAG